GGGGGAAUGGAGUUUCCCCAUGAAAUGAAUGUUUGGUUGGUUGGAGCUUGGAGGCAUUAUAGUGCAGCAACAUAAAUGUGUGAGUUAAAGAGGUAGUGAUGGUAGUGCAACUACCUUAUCUCUCACUUUGUCCAUCUUACAAAAAACAACAACAUAGUUUAUUGUUUCCAACACCCUACUCUUUGCUUUAUGAGAUGAUGAUAAUGCUACUUGCUGGACUAAUUACUAUAACCAACCUCCUCUCGCUGACCCCCACACCUU
rnacentral:lncRNA from 1 species